GGUCACAUCCCAAAUUCCCAGGGAAGGACUCUGAUUGGUCCAAUUUGGCUCCAAGGCCAUCUUUGGACCAAUCAGCUGUGACCAGGAAGCAGAAUCGUUGGAUGUAAAUAUGUCUGUUUGCAUUUAUCUAUGUAAUAGAGGGGAUGAGAGGAAAGGUCCAAUAUCCUGGUAGCUGGGGAAGCUAAUCACAUAAAACAAGUUUUUUUAUGCAUUUUUUUUCCUAUGAAUUUCUAGAAACUUUAAAAGGAAAGAUUGGAGAAGAAGAGGGGCAUGAGCCAAGUAAGCUCUGGGGGAGCUUCGGAAUUAACCAGCUCCCCCACAUUACUGAUGAGCUUCUUCCAGCUAAUGGAAUAAUGAAAACACAAAACAGAUUUACCGUUCUUAAUAAGAGAGAGAGAUAAUGAAGGCAAAUUAAAAUGGAAGCUCAGAUCUGCGUGGAGAACAGCUUGCUGCCAUGCAUGUGGCUCAAAGACAAAGGAAAGCGCUUAAUAAAAAAAAGCAAAAAAUUACCUGAGUUUGUGGACCAAGAAUAAGCCAAGAACAACACUGGGGGCACCGUGGAAUAGCUACAACAGAGACUGUGUAUCGUGAGCGGGUUUGGCUCAACCUUGGGUUCUGAGCAACUGCAAGGUGAUAUACCCUUUCUCGAAGCUUCCACCAUCCUCACUGGAAGAGCCAAAGACCCUCAGGUCAGCAGGGCAGGCUUUCUGGCUCCUCUGUCCCCUUAGAAGAGGCCAAGAUGGCAAUCUUGACUUCAGAAUCUUUAUUGGAAAAUAAACACUGUUUAAUGUACAAGAAAUCCCUCCAAGGGUCCAGUCAAAACAUCCCCAUGUGGGAUUGAUGCCAUUCGAAUGGACUCCAGAUGUCCCCUGGUCUCAGUGUCCCUGUGACCUCAAGGAGGGAGGAAGGCCCUGCAGGGAGACACGUGGCGGGUUUAGCACCCAAGGAAGCAGCUUGCUUUGCCACCCCAGCUGCUGUGCGGUGAGGGUGUUUGGGUGAUUCCCUGGCCCUGCCCAGCUUCGCCAGACUCCAUCCACCUCUCCCUCAAAGGUCUCUAUGGCCAUUCUCUUGAGUUUUUUCAUUCAACCAAAGGAAAUGCCCUGCCUGGGGUGGGGUCAGGGGGUAGGAUUCUACUCAGAAUCAGAGCCCAGUGUGGCUUUCCACAGGCCAGGUCAGCUGGAGGCCUGUGCCUAUGUCAAAGCCAGGCAGGGCUGCAGAGAAAACUGUGGAAAGAGCUGGGAGUGGGGCAGUCACAGAUGGAGGGGCUGGAGAGAAGCAGCAGAGACCAGAAGCUGAAAACGGAGGAUGGGGGUGGGAGAGGCAACCUCAGAAAUGCCUCUACUGAUAACGUCUCUGAGGAUUACUGAUCAAAAUUCCACCCUUCCAUUUAAAUACCCGAGCUGGGAGUUCCCACUGUGAUGCAGUGGAAACAAAGCUGACUAGUAUCCAUGAGGAUGCUGGUUCGAUCCCUGGCCUCGCUGAGUGGGUUAAGAUCCAGCCUUGCCUUGAGCUGUGGUAUAGGUUGCAGACACAGCUCCGGUCCCUUGACCUGCGCCAUAACCACAGCAAUGCCAGAUCUGAGCCACAUCUGGGACCUAUGCCACAGCUUGCAGCAACACCCGAUCCUUAACCCACUGAGCAAGACCAGGGAUCAAACCUGCAUCCUCACAGUCAAGUUCUUAACCCAUCGAGCCACAAUGGGAACUCCUACUAAUACAUUCUGGAUGUAAAAAAUAUUUAAAUAACCCAUUAAAUCAGACUUGUGCCCUUGGGAGAGUUGAGUCACCCCCAACCCGGCUCCCGGAAGGCCCUAGUGCCUGCCCUCCCCCACCCCCCGUCCCUAGAGUCAGGAGCAGGUGGCUGUGUCUCUCUGAUGCAACCCUGUCUCAUACAAAAGCUCCGAGAGCUGGGAGCAUGUCUCAUGAGCUUUGGUUGUCCUUCCUCAACGCCCCCCCACCCCCUUCUGCUUGAGGAUGACCACAGGAGAUGCUUCGAUGACAACAAGGGUGGUAAUAGUAAUUCCAGCUAAUAGCAUGGAGCCCUAGUUGAGCCUCAUAACAACCCCAAAUAGGAAGUUACAGCCAUCACUACCCUGUUAGCCUAAGAGGAAUUGGAGGCACAGAGAGUGUAAAUACUUAGGAUGUGUCCCCAGCAAGGACCACAGUCAUCCUGAUGGGGAAGCCUGCAUCCUUGUCUUUGUACAAGGGAUCCUCAGCAGGCUCUGGAGUUGAAGAGAAUCAGCACUUUCCAUCCCUACAUGUGGCUCCGAACAGGAAAGAAGCCAGAGAGGAGAAUUACCUUUGGGGACAGGAAAGCAAGAAAAAAAUCCCCGCUAAUGGGAUGAUCCAGUCUUAGUUCUGGUCCAGGCCCAGCGCUCAUCUUCCAGGCUGACUUCUGUCCCCCCGCCCCACCAUUACUGCCCAGAUAUUGGAAUCAAGGUUUGUGGGGGCUGCAAGAGAGAGCCCCAUGCACCCUCACCAGGCCUCCCUCCCUGAGAGGAGCCAUGUGUAAAUACCCCGUGAGUGGUGUGAAUUUCCAUGAUGUACACAAUUUGGGUUUGGCUAAAUCAGCCACAUGGAGGCAGAGACUUCUAAAAGUCUAGCCCCAGAAGGGGAUUUAAAAACCAUUUAUUCACUCUCCCUUUUUUUCACUCUGUUCCAGCCUCACUGCUGUUCUCCUAGCACAGGGGCCUGCUUCUGCCCCAGGGCCUUUGCAUUUAUCAAGCCUUUUGUCUGGGACAGAAUUUACCUCCUUCCUGUCUUGGCUCAGAUGUCAGCUGCUCAGUAAGACCUUUUGUUACAGUUACAAACCCAUCUCCCCUUCCUCACUUUAUGUUUUCUCCCAGGAUGUUUCACGUCCUGACAUUUUACUGAUUUUCCUCUUUGUUACCUUCCUCCCACCCUCUAGGAUGUCAGCUUCAUGGGGGCAGGGCUUCCUAUCUAUUUGGCGUCCUGUGGGGUAUACCCAAAGCCUGGCACGUAAGAGAUGCCCAAUACACAUUUGUCAAAUAAAUUAUGUUCAAGAGCAUCCCAUUUUACAGCGCAGCUGUGACAUAGGUCACAGCUGAGGCUCCUGGCCCAGGAAUUUCCAUAGGCUGCAGGUGUGACCAAAAGAGUAAAAAAAAAAAAAAAGUCUGUACAGGUGUCCUAGGGCUGCUGGAACAAAUUAUCACAAACUUGGUAGCAUAAAACAUCUAUUCAUUCACUCGCAAUUCUGGAGACCAGAACUAUGAAAUGAAGGUGUCAGCAGAGGCUCUUAGGCAGGAUCUUUCUUGCCUCUAAAGCUUCAGGGGACCCCAGGCUCCCUCGGCUUGUGGCCGCCUCCCUCCAAUCUCUGUCUCUGUCUUCACAGGGCCCUCUCCCUGUGUCUCUGUGGCCCUCUCCUUCAUCCUAUAAGGACACUGGUCAUUGGAUUUAGAGCCCACCCCAGCCUCAGGAUAACCUCACCCCAAGACCCUCAACUAAUUACGUCUGUCAAGACCCUCUUUCCAAAUAGGGUUCCCUUCUGAGGUUCCAGGUGGACAGGAAUUUAGGAGAACACUGUUCAACCACCGCACUGGCAGAGCUGACUAGAACUCAGGUCUCCCCCGCCACCCCCCGACCACAGCCCCCUCAGGGGCUCCACUAGAGUCUCUGCUUUGAGAGGUUAGGUUGGCAGCCGACGGCUGUGGCUGUCAGUCUCCCGUGAACUUGUCAAGUAGGAGAGGGAAAAAAUAAACUCUGGGGUUAAUGAAAGCAGCGAGAUGAUCUCGGCUGAUCCCCCCUAAUCCCCUGCUCUGAGCUCGGCUUUCCAUCAUCAGUCGAGGCUUCUUUUUUUCCCCUUCUUUGUCCGAGUUUCCCCAGAGAAGCAAGCCUUCCAAAUUUAAUAAACUUCCCCCGCCCCCAGCUUUCCCUAAAAUAAAGUAACAGCAGGAUGAUUUUCAAAUG
rnacentral:lncRNA from 1 species